AUGGUUAAGUUAGAAAGGGCGCACGGUGGAUGCCUUGGCACUAGGAGCCGAUGAAGGACGGGGCAAACGCCGAAACGCUUCGGGGAGCUGUAAGCAAGCGUUGAUCCGGAGAGUCGUAGACCCGAAACCAGGUGAUCUACCCAUGUCCAGGGUGAAGGUAGGGUAACACCUACUGGAGGCCCGAACCCACGUACGUUGAAAAGUGCGGGGAUGAGGUGUGGGUAGGGGUGAAAUGCCAAUCGAACCUGGAGAUAGCUGGUUCUCCCCGAAAUAGCUUUAGGGCUAGCCUCAAGGGAAGAGUCUUGGAGGUAGAGCACUGAUUGAGCUAGGGGCCCUCAUCGGGUUACCGAACUCAGUCAAACUCCGAAUGCCAACGACUUAUCCUUGGGAGUCAGACUACGAGUGAUAAGAUCCGUGGUCGAGAGGGAAACAGCCCAGACCACCAGCUAAGGUCCCAAAGUGCACGUUAAGUGGAAAAGGAUGUGGAGUUGCCCAGACAACCAGGAUGUUGGCUUAGAAGCAGCCAUCAUUUAAAGAGUGCGUAAUAGCUCACUGGUCGAGUGACUCUGCGCCGAAAAUGUACCGGGGCUAAACGUGCCACCGAAGCUGUGGGAUGACCAUUGGUCAUCGGUAGGGGAGCGUUCUAAGCGCGCCGAAGCGGGACCGGAAGGACUCGUGGAGCGCUUAGAAGUGAGAAUGCCGGUGUGAGUAGCGAAAACAGAGGUGAGAAUCCUCUGCACCGAAAGCCUAAGGUUUCCUGAGGAAGGUUCGUCCGCUCAGGGUUAGUCGGGACCUAAGCCGAGGCCGAAAGGCGUAGGUGAUGGGCAACAGGUUGAGAUUCCUGUACCACCUCCUCACCGUUUGAGCAAUGGGGGGACGCAGGAAGGUAGGGCGAGCAGGCUGCUGGAAUAGCCUGUCCAAGCGGUUAGGCUGCCAGAUAGGCAAAUCCGUCUGGCGCAAAGGCUGAGCCGUGAUGGCGAAGGGACCAUCGGUCCCGAAGUCCCCGAUCCUACACUGCCAAGAAAAGCCUCUAGCGAGGUGAGAGGUGCCCGUACCGCAAACCGACACAGGUAGGCGAGGAGAGAAUCCUAAGGUGCGCGGGAGAACUCUCGUUAAGGAACUCGGCAAAAUGACCCCGUAACUUCGGGAGAAGGGGUGCUCUCUUGGGUGAUGAGCCCGAGAGAGCCGCAGUGAAAAGGCCCAAGCGACUGUUUACCAAAAACACAGGUCUCUGCGAAGCCGAAAGGCGAAGUAUAGGGGCUGACACCUGCCCGGUGCUGGAAGGUUAAGGGGAGCGCUUAAGCCGCAAGGCUGAAGGUGCGAACCGAAGCCCCAGUAAACGGCGGCCGUAACUAUAACGGUCCUAAGGUAGCGAAAUUCCUUGUCGGGUAAGUUCCGACCCGCACGAAAGGUGUAACGACUUGGGCACUGUCUCAACGAGAGACCCGGUGAAAUCAUACUACCUGUGAAGAUGCAGGUUACCCGCGACAGGACGGAAAGACCCCGUGGAGCUUUACUGCAGCCUGAUAUGGAAUUUUGGUAUCGCUUGUACAGGAUAGGUGGGAGCCUGAGAAGCCGGAGCGCCAGCUUCGGUGGAGGCGCCGGUGGGAUACCACCCUGGCGGUAUUGAAAUUCUAACCCGCACCCCUUAUCGGGGUGGGAGACAGUGUCAGGUGGGCAGUUUGACUGGGGCGGUCGCCUCCCAAAAGGUAACGGAGGCGCCCAAAGGUUCCCUCAGAAUGGUUGGAAAUCAUUCGUAGAGUGCAAAGGCACAAGGGAGCUUGACUGCGAGACGGACAGGUCGAGCAGGGACGAAAGUCGGGCUUAGUGAUCCGGUGGUUCCGUAUGGAAGGGCCAUCGCUCAACGGAUAAAAGCUACCCCGGGGAUAACAGGCUGAUCUCCCCCAAGAGUCCACAUCGACGGGGAGGUUUGGCACCUCGAUGUCGGCUCAUCGCAUCCUGGGGCUGUAGUCGGUCCCAAGGGUUGGGCUGUUCGCCCAUUAAAGCGGUACGCGAGCUGGGUUCAGAACGUCGUGAGACAGUUCGGUCCCUAUCCGUCGCGGGCGCAGGAAAUUUGAGAGGAGCUGUCCUUAGUACGAGAGGACCGGGAUGGACGCACCGCUGGUGUACCAGUUGUCCCGCCAGGGGCACCGCUGGGUAGCUAUGUGCGGAAGGGAUAAGCGCUGAAAGCAUCUAAGCGUGAAGCCCCCCUCAAGAUGAGAUUUCCCAUCGCGUCAAGCGAGUAAGAUCCCUCGAAGAUGACGAGGUCGAUAGGUCCGAGGUGGAAGCGUGGCGACACGUGGAGCUGACGGAUACUAAUCGAUCGAGGACUUAACCAAG
rnacentral:rRNA from 2 species